GAUGAACGCUGGCGGCGUGCCUAAUACAUGCAAGUCGAGCGAACGGACGAGGAGCUUGCUCCUCUGAUGUUAGCGGCGGACGGGUGAUUAACACGUGGAUAACCUACCUAUAAGACUGGGAUAACUUCGGGAAACCGUAGCUACUACCGGAUAAUAUAUUGAACCUCAUGGUUCAAUAGUUAAAGACGGUCUUUCUGUCACUUAUAGCUGGAUCCGCGCUGCAUUAGCUAGUUGGUAAGGUAACGGCUUACCAAGGCGACGAUGCAUAGCCGACCUGAGAGGGAGAACGGCUACAUUGGCAGUGAGAAAGGGCACAGACACCGAGAGGAGGAAGCAGUAGGGAAUCUUACGGGAGGGAGGAGUGGGUGACGGAGCAAAAUGGCGUGAGGGAUGAAGGACUUAGGAUGGGAGAACGAUGAAAGUAGGGGAGAAGAAAAGUGUAAGUAACCGGGAAGAUAAUGACGGUACCGAAAGAGAAAGCUACGGCUAACUACGUG
rnacentral:rRNA from 1 species